rnacentral:lncRNA from 1 species
CGACGACAGGCCUUUCUAGAAGGGCCCUACAAGCGGCUUCAGGGAGUCUGGGAACCAAAGCAGCCACCCUGUCCAUGGCACUGUCCGCCCCUGGCACCACGGCCCCACCGGGAGUGGAAGCCGCCAGCCCUGCCGGCCGCUGCCCUGGAGAAGGAGCUGCAGAUGGAUCCCCAGUGAGUAGGAGGCAGCCGUGUGAGUCAGGCAGCGGAGGGAACGGGCUGCAUCGCGGAGAGGAGGUGCGAAGCAGCGCGCCGUUUCCGGGCUCUGGAAGCCGAGCUGCCGAGGCGUAAGCUGGGAGGUGGACAUGACGGGGGAGUGGGGAAGGGCAGGCGGCGGGACGGCCACACAGCGGAAUAUUAUGCAACUUAUAAAAAAUUUAAUUACCUGCCUACCAAUAGACUUAAAGGGAUUUCUAUAAGGUAUUAUUGGGUGAGAAAAGCAAUUUGGAGAUAAGAAUGUAACAUACGAUCCCAUUUUUAUAAAACAA